AUUUAUAUUAAAUUUAUUUUAAGUUAAUAGUGUACUGGUUAUAACUAAUAUCAAAUCUUUACUAAUACUUGAUUUCUUUUUAUGAUGGUUGACUUUGCGAGAACUAACGGAGCAUUAGUGUCAAGAAUGGGCUGAGAUUCGAAUUCAGUCGGUUUUUCGCUCUUUUUUGACAAAAAGGGAUCAAGAUCGGGACCGUCCAUUUGACUUCACACGGAUCACCAUCUGCUUUCUCUCUCAAUGCUCACACAUCUGACAAAAAGGGAUGCCAAAAGCAGGGAAGUACAAUCUACAGGAAAAAGCAACACUUUACUUUUGUGUGAAAGACAGCUUGCUUGCUGCAGUCUCUAUAAUAUAUCAACACUCUUCCAUACACUGUUUGAAAGACAGCACUGCUUCCUUCAGUCUCUAUAAAUAAUCCAGAGAUAUCUACACUCUACUCACACUUUACAAACUCUCAACUACACUCAACUGAAAUUAAUAUAUCAACUCUUUGCAUUCGGAUCUUGCGUUGUUUCUCGGCUCUCACAUCAAGGUUUUAAAAUUUUUGUCGGCUUUUCACAUCUCCCUCUUGCAUUGUUGUAAGUUCUUUCAAAUAUGACAUAGUGAACGGAUAAAUUGUUUUUGUGGUUUUUAUUUUACUUUGUUCUGUUAUAUUUUGAUCUUUUCCUUCAUUGUUGGGA